AUGUUUGUUUAAACCAGACUGUACGUUUUUGCUUAUGUUUCUUGUCCGUAUUGAGCUACAAAUGCGGGUUGAGACACAUGAGCUAGCAUGACUAUUGAAGCAAUGAUCGAUCUAUAUUUUUUCCUCUAAUUUUAGGGAUAUUUUAGAUCAUAUACUCUUAUUUCGGAUAUUUAAAUGGACCGAAAAAUAGGUUCAUAUAUAUCCAUGUGGCCACAAGAUGAAAUGUAGUGGGUGAUUUCAAACCCGGUAAGCAAUCCUAAAGUCUGCUUACCACGAGACCACCACCUUGUUGUUAUGAACGAUGUUCAAAUGCAUGUUAGAGGAAAAAGGUGAACCGGUGCCUGGUGGACAAGAAAUCAAUAUUGAUUGAUAUAAUUUAUUCAGGUGCAUGCGUACCGGUAGAAAUAGUAUAUAUGUAUAUGGUUUGAAUUCAAACUUUGAAUUUGAGACACAAUUCUUCUUGAUGUUUGGGGUUGGGUUCAGUCAGACUACGUACGGUCAUGUAGGCAUCAAAGACUAAGUACUUAAAAAGUUUCGAUUUCUAUAGUGUUUGCUCAGAUUUAACAUUUUCUGGUUAACAACUUAACAUCAUAUAUAUAUAUAUAUAUAUGCGUUGUUUUGUUGAAAUUAACAAGAUAUAUACUAUACUUGCAUAAGAUUACAAAAAGUAUAGCAUAAAUUUCAUCGAAUGGUCAAAAUGGUAGGUAUUGGGUUUUGCAUCAAUGACAUAAAGAGGACAAAGGAUCGUGUUCUUGGCUAUCCAAAACCCUAGAGAUUGUGAAAUCAAAUGGGGCAAAAAUAUACUCCAGUUGUUAACUUCAACUGGUUCUUCACAUGGAGAUAUGGUCCAAAUGAAAACAACCCCACAACUCCCCAAAAUUAUAAAUACUGCAUAUUAUUUGGCUCUCAUUAGUUUUGAAUUGGCUUUUUUUUUUCUUAUUCUAUUCUGUCAACUCUCAAUCUUUGAGACUUUUUGGGCAAGAAAAUAUACAGAUCUAUAAUUUUCAGUUUUUACAAAAGAAAAAAAGAGUAAAUGAUAGAUUAAGAACUUUCAUAUGCUUUAUUCAAAACCCUCUCGGAUUUCCAAAGGUGCACGACCUUAAAUCAAAGGUACUCAUGCAAUAAUUAGAUAUGAUUAAAGCACUAAUUUGUAUAGUGUCUUUCAUUUUCUCUUGAUCAAAAUUUAUAUACAAUUAAUGUGAUGCACGAUCAUAUAAAGAUAGUUCCCGUGUUAGGUAUUGCUUGAUUGAAAAGCUUAUAAAUGGCGUUUAUAGAUAUUAUAUAAGAAUCAUAAGUUUACCAAAGAAUUAAUACUAUUGGGAAAACUAUUAUAAAGUAAAUAAAAAGAGAAUCGCUAAUUUUAUUGUUUGGCAUUAGUCAAAAGGUUAGAUGUUAAAUUAGAACUGAAACAGUGGCUUUUAGGCUCAAAGUUAGUAUAAUCAAAGUAGUCAAGCGGCUAAACAAUCUCACUUCUUUAGAUUCUAAUAUAUUAUACCAGAGAUCAUACAUGCACAAGCUGUAUGAAAGUGAGGUGGUGUGCAUGUGGUCCAUUCACGAGGAGAUUAAAUUGUCCUUAAAUAAAAGUAUCAUGCUUUCAUUUGUAGAGCUUCGUUUGAUUACGUAAUGUGUUUCUUUUUUACUGAAGGCAUUGAUUACGUAAUGUGUUCCAUGGUUAACAUAUCUGAAGUCCAAAAUUCGAGUAUGGUUUUUUGGAUGCUGACCAGUCUGGCAUCAUAAUUGUAUUAGACUAAACUAAGCGUUAACAUAUUAACCGGUUUCUGAUCUCGUAUGAACCAAAUUACCAAUUCAAAAGCAAAUCACAUUUUUCAAAGUCUCAAAAGGAAACGCGUUCUGAUAUAUUAUACAUGCAAUCGCAAAGUCGUAACCCCGUACGUAUUGACAUAUGUGAUGUACACACCCAGACCCAGAUACUAUAAUUGUAUUCUCCUGAAUAUCUUCGCGCAUACAUGAUACAUAUGAGCAUGCAUGUAUCCACUACGAUCAUGGCAACAAGAUGUGUUAAUAUAUGUGGUGAAAUAAGAUAUGUGGCCUAGUGGAAUUUCGCACGAAUGCGCACCCAAAAUACCCCACAAGCCAAAAGACAAUUAGCACACUUUUCUUUCGAUAUAUUCUUUAUCUAUUCUCUUCAUUUCCUUACUUCUUCAAAUAUAAUUUUACCAAAAUAAUAAUAAAUAAAAUUUUGGAAAAUAAUUGAUAUUUGCUUGGCUCAAAUUAUGGAUAUACAAGUACCAGCUUGAUAAAAACAACUUGUUUCUUUCUUUUUCUUUUCAUCUCUUUUUUUGUAACACCUUUCUUUUUCUUUUCAAUUUUCAUGUUCUAAGUAGAAAGAUAUUUUUUUCAAGUCCAUAAUAUCAUGUAAAGAUAGCUUGAAAACUGGAUAUAAUCUUUAAAUAAUUAAUUAACGGUUUUAAUAAAAGAGGUAUGAUUUAUAAUAUGCUUAAUUUGUUUUUUUAUUCUUUCGCCAUUCAUGCUUCAUCUCUUAUUCUUUUCCUACUAUAUUCUAUUUGUGUGUUUUUGUAAGUUGCGUUGCGUUGCUUUGCACUUUGCAGGUUAUAGUAACGAAAUUAGGAUUAUUGAGUGUAAUGACGACGUACUAUCUUACCAAGUUACCAGUUAUAUACUUCAACAUUAUCACGUCUAAAAUUAAAUAAAUAAAUUCUGAAAUAAAAUAAAAGAAUUAUCAGCCACAUGAUUUGUUGCCACACCGCACCAUGAUUAAAGUUAUAUAAAGAGAGAUACCAGGACAGAUUCAAAGUGAAAGAAAGUCCCAAAAACAAACAACCAAAAAAUUAAAACACAAACCCAUUCGUGUGCGUGCGACUAAGUUUAAACAUUAAUGGAUAUUUCUUCAUCACUUUUACUCUUGUCCUUCUUCCUCUUUGUCAUCAUUAUCUUCAUCUUUAACAAGAUCAACGGUCUCAGAACAUCCUCAGUUUCAAAGAAGAAACUUACUGAUCAUGUUAGUACUCACAGCUACGGACCAAGGUUUCCACAAGGAAGCUUGGGAUGGCCUAUCCUCGGAGAAACCAUCGAGUUCGUCUCUUCUGCUUACUCUGACUAUCCCGAGAGUUUCAUGGACAAGCGUCAACUUAUGUAUGGUAGAGUUUUUAAGUCGCAUAUAUUUGGAACGGCCACGAUCGUGUCGACGGACGCAGAAGUUAAUAAAGCAGUUUUACAGAGCGACUCCACGGCAUUUGUGCCGUUCUACCCUAAAACGGUGAGGGAGCUCAUGGGAAAAUCAUCGAUACUUCUGAUAAACGGGAGUUUACACAGAAGGUUCCAUGGAUUAGUCGGUUCGUUCUUAAAGUCACCACCUCUCAAAGCUCAAAUCGUUAGAGACAUGCACAAGUUUUUGUCCGAGUCCAUGGAUCUAUGGUCCGAGGACCAACCUGUUCUCCUCCAGGAUGUCUCCAAGAAUGUUGCAUUCAAAGUACUUGCAAAGGCACUGAUAAGUGUAGAGAAAGGAGAAGAAUUAGAAGAGUUGAAGGAAGAAUUUGAACAAUUCAUCAGAGGACUCAUGUCACUGCCAAUUAACUUGCCUGGAACCCAACUUCAUAGAUCUCUCCAAGCUAAGAAAAAGAUGGUGAAGCAAGUUGAAAAGAUCAUAGGAGACAAAGUCAGGAGAGCAAAAAACAAAGAAGAAGAUGGUGCGGUUGCAAAAGAUGUUGUGGAUGUGCUGCUUAAGGACUCAAGUGAAAAAUUAACUCACAAUUUGAUUGCUAACAAUAUGAUUGACAUGAUGAUUCCUGGCCACGAUUCGGUACCUGUCCUCAUCACUCUGGCUGUCAAAUUUCUAUCCGAUUCUCCUACAGCUCUUCAUUUUCUAACGGAAGAAAACAUGGAGCUGAAAAGUUUGAAGGAGAUGACAGGAGAGCAACUAUAUUGGAAUGACUAUUUGUCUUUACCUUUUACACAAAAGGUCAUUACAGAGACACUGAGAAUGGGAAAUGUUAUAAUUGGAGUGAUGCGAAAAGCGAUGAAAGAUGUUGAAAUAAAAGGGUACGUGAUACCAAAAGGAUGGUGCUUCUUGGCUUAUCUCAGAUCAGUCCAUCUUGAUAAACUUCACUAUGACUCCCCCUACAAAUUCAAUCCAUGGAGAUGGCAAGAAAGGGACAUGAACACGAGUAGUUUCAGUCCUUUUGGAGGUGGCCAGAGGUUGUGUCCUGGUCUUGAUUUGGCCCGUCUUGAAGCUUCAAUUUUCCUUCACCAUCUUGUCACUCGCUUCAGGUAAUAAAAAUAGUUACAUGAUAUUACUACAGAACUAUUCAUAUAUAUAUGGUAAAUACUUAAAUUUGAUGACAAAAAGAAGAGAUAAAAGGUGUGGCAAGUGCUCAAGACUUUAGACAAACCGGUACGUUAGGACCAUAUAAGUCUCAUCUCCUUUUGACAAAUUGGACUCAGUUACUAAAAGACAAAAGUGGAAAUGUAUUUCUUGAAAAACUUGUAGCUAGUACUUAACAUUCAAAUCCAAAUCUAAAUGAUCUAAGUCUAAAGAUUUUAUAACAUUGGUUAUGCUAUGCAGAUGGGUUGCAGAAGAAGAUAAAAUUAUAAAUUUUCCUACAGUGCAUAUGAAGAACAAACUACCCAUUUGGAUCAAAAGAAGAUGAUUGUCUUUCAAUAAGUAGAAAAUGGAGAAUCAAUUUUGCAUUAGUUAAGUGUAAAAGGUUAAAGAAGUUACAAGUCACACGAGUGUUUGAAAGUGGGAGUGAGAUGAAAGUGAUAGUGAGACGGUAAAGACGACAUACAUGAUAGAGUGUAGAGACAAAAAAGGCAAUCACACGUGUGGGAGGUGACAAACCCGUGUCAACUAUUUGUCGGUUUCCGUCAAAAGACAUAUAACGACAAAAUCUCAAAACCUUUAUGUUUGCUGAAAGGGCUCCACGUGGAUCCCAGCUGCUUAUUUAUUUUGUCGACAUUAGAACUUCUCGUUUUGACUUGUACAAAGGUGUAUUAUAUUUAUAUCACUAGAAUCAUAAUUAAUUUUCACGACUAUUCCUCUUCGUAAUGUGUACUAGGACAUCAUUACAGAGAAUAUUUAUAAAGAGAAUUUUUAGGACAUCA